AAAGAAAAGUGAAAGUGAGGAAGAGGAGGAUGAAGAGGAGGAGGAAGAAAAACCCAAAAAAUCAAAAAAAAAUCCCAAAAAAUCCCCAAAAAAUCCCGGAAAUUCCUCUGGGUCGGAUUCCGAGGAUUUGCCGUUGGCAAAAUGGGCGGAAAAAAGGAAAAAUCGGGGAAAGGAGGAAGAGGAGGAGAAGAGGAAGAAGAGGAAGAGGAGGAAGGACGAGGAGGAGGAAGAGGAGGAGUGGUGGAGGCGCGGGAAGGACCCACCGGAAGUGGCGCGGUUGAAGCGAUACCUCCGAGCCGCUGGGGGGCGCCCCAAUUACAAACAGCUCUUCCGGAAGUGCCGCAGCCGCCGCGAGGUCCUGGAGGCGCUCAGGGGCGCCCUGCGCGACCUGGGGCUGCGAGGCGCCCCCUCCCUGGCCCGCUGCCGCCGCCUCGGCCGCCGCCGCGAGGAAAAAGCCGAACUCGCCGCCCUCGACGCCUCCAACAUUUUACCCGCGAGAUCCAGAAGAAGAAACCCCGAAAUUGCCCCAAAAUCACCCCCAAAAUCGGCGCUGCCCCCCCCGGAUUGGUCGCGGCUCCGCGGCGUCGUCAGCUCCGACAGCGAGUGAAGGGAGUUUGGAAUUUUAUUUUUGGGGGGAAUUUUUGGGGUUUUGGGGGUUUUUAUGGGUUUGGGGUUGGUGUUGUAAAGUUGUAAUAAAGGUUGGAGAUGUUGUUGUAAAAAUGGCCUAAAAAUGGUUGGAAAAAUGCCCAAAAUCACCUUAAAAUCGCUGUAAAAAUCCUCAAAAUCACCCCAAAAAUCAACCCAAAAUUAGUGAAAAAAUGCCCCAAAAAAUACCAAAAAUUGCCCUAAAAAUACCAAAAAUUGCCCCAAAAAAUGGAUCCAAAAUUCCCCUAAAAAUCACCAAAAAAUCGCCCUAAAAUUCCCACGCAAAUCACUCCAAAAAUCACCCUCAAAAAUGAGAUCAAAAUCCCCCAAAAAGGCCCAAAAAUGGUCUUAAAAAUCACCCCCCAAAUCCUCAAAAAUUGCC